rnacentral:rRNA from 1 species
UACAGGGGGGGCAAGCGUUGUUCGGAAUUACUGGGCGUAAAGGGCCAGUAGGCGGCCAACUAAGUCCGACGUGAAAUCCCUAGGCUUAACCUAGGAACUGCGUCGGAUACUGGAUGGCUUGAAUUCGGGAGAGGGAUGCAGAAUUCCACGUGUAGCAGUGAAAUGCGUAGAGAUGUGGAGGAACACCGAUGGCGAAGGCAGCCCCCUGGGCUAGCACUGACGCUCAGGCACGAAAGCGUGGGGAGCAAACAGG